rnacentral:tRNA from 1 species
GCCUUCGUAGUGUAGCAGUCAGCACGCUUGGCCCUUAUUCAAGAUGUUCGUGGUUCGAGUCCCGGCGAGGGCA